rnacentral:sRNA from 1 species
ACCUCGAGGACUUGGGGGCUGGGCCAGCU